CCUACGGGUGGCAGCAGUGAGGAAUAUUGGUCAAUGGCCGAGAGGCUGAACCAGCCAAGUCGCGUGAGGGAAGACGGCCCUACGGGUUGUAAACUUCUUUUGUCGGGGAGUAAAGUGAGUCACGUGUGACUUAUUGAGAGUACUUGAAGAAUAAGAAUCGGCUAACUCCGUGCCAGCAGCCGCGGUAAUACGGAGGAUGGGAGCGUUAUCCGGAUUUAUUGGGUUUAAAGGGAGCGGAGAUGGAUGGUUAAGUCAGGUGGGAAAGUUGGGGGGCCAAACCUGGAAUUGCAAUUGAUACUGGAAGCCUUGAGUGCAGGAGAGGUAGGCGGAAUGCGUGGUGUAGCGGUGAAAUGCAUAGAUAUCACGAAGAACUCCGAUUGCGAAGGCAGCAUAC
rnacentral:rRNA from 1 species